rnacentral:tRNA from 1 species
GCUGAGGUGGCUGAAUGGUUAAGGCAAUGGACUGCUAGUCCAUUGUGCUCUGCACUCAUGGGUUUAAAUCCUGUCCUCAUCU